CAUAGCACAGGGGAAGCCAAAGCCAAUGUAAUUCUGGAUUGCUCACUUUUUCUCCCAGCAGGAUGUGUGAACAACUGCCAAGGUAUUUAAAUGCCAUGAUUUUCUAAAGUACAUUUAUGGAGUUGAUAAAUCAUCACUAAAAUUCAAAUUUUGAAUCCACUUCUACAAGAAGAAGUAUAUAUUUAGAGGCUCACGAUUACAAGCCCUGAACCUUCUCCAGAUGUGUGCCGCAGCUCAGCUCCAGCUUUAUCUUCAGCCCUGAAGAUGGACUUGACAAGACGGAUUAUUUGUGGCCGUCUUGUAAUAGCUUUGUGGAAUUGGAAUUCCCAGCGAUUGUAAUGGAGGGUCAGGAACGAGGAGCCAAGGAAUGGAGAGUUUCUCCUUGCAGUGAACAAUACAGAAGACCAACAGUAAUAAAAAGAGCAAAUCAGCUGUGGCAUUUUCUAACUGUGGAUACUGGUUCUUCCAGACUGUUCUAAUUCUUUCCCUUUUAUGAUUCUGUUUAUGUUAUACACAUUAAAGUUAAGUCAUGUCUUUAAUAAGAUGGAAACUGGAAGUGAGAUUUGGAAAUGACUGAAUCAGGCUUCUUAACUUUUUUUUUUUUCCUCUUGGA